GCCCUCAUAUCUUAGUUGGUAGAGCAUUCGCCUAGAUAGCGAAAGGCCCCCAGUUCAAGCCUGAUUGGAGGCA
rnacentral:tRNA from 1 species